rnacentral:rRNA from 1 species
AUUGGAAGGGGUGUAUUUAUUAGAUAAAAAACCAACGCCCUUCGGGGCUUCUUGGUGAUUCAUGAUAACUUCACGGAUCGCAUGGCCUUGCGCCGGCGACGGUUCAUUCAAAUUUCUGCCCUAUCAACUUUCGAUGGUAAGGUAUUGGCUUACCAUGGUUUCAACGGGUAACGGGGAAUUAGGGUUCGAUUCCGGAGAGGGAGCCUGAGAAACGGCUACCACAUCCAAGGAAGGCAGCAGGCGCGCAAAUUACCCAAUCCCGACACGGGGAGGUAGUGACAAUAAAUACUGAUACAGGGCUCUUUUGGGUCUUGUAAUUGGAAUGAGUACAAUUUAAACCUCUUAACGAGGAACAAUUGGAGGGCAAGUCUGGUGCCAGCAGCCGCGGUAAUUCCAGCUCCAAUAGCGUAUAUUAAAGUUGUUGCAGUUAAAAAGCUCGUAGUUGAAACUUGGGCCUGGCUGGCAGGUCCGCCUCACCGCGUGUACUUGUCCGGCCGGGCCUUACCUCUUGGUGAGCCGGCGUGCCCUUUAUUGGUGUGCGUCGGGGAACCAGGACUUUUAC